rnacentral:rRNA from 1 species
GUUGGCCCGUGGCUUUCGCUCCGAACCCCUGUGACAUACCACUUGUUGCCUCGGCGGAUCAGCCCGCUCCCGGUAAAACGGGACGGCCCGCCGAGGACCCCUAAACUCUGUUUCUAUAUGUAACUUCUGAGUAAAACCAUAAAUAAAUCAAAACUUUCAACAACGGAUCUCUUGGUUCUGGCAUCGAUGAAGAACGCAGCAAAAUGCGAUAAGUAAUGUGAAUUGCAGAAUUCGGGGAAUCAUCAAAUCUUUGAACCGCACUUUGCGCCCGCCAGUAUUCUGGCGGGCAUGCCUGUUCGAGCGUCAUUUCACCCUCAAGCACAGCUUGGUGUUGGGACUCGCGUUAAUUCGCGUUCCUCAAUUGAUUGCGGUCACGUCGAGCUUCCAUAGCGUAGUAUAAACCCUCGUUACUGCCAUCGUUACUGGCACUCGUCAACCCCACUUUUGAGCGUCGACUGGAGAGGGUCACAUACCCCUGACUAAUCCUCUCUCACUCGAGGGAUCGUGCGCGGAUUGG